CCUCACUGAGCUCGAUACGCGACCGCCCGGGGCAGUCAUGACGUCACCGGGAUCGCCAUUUUGCAUCCUCAAUCGAACUUUUUUCUCCCUCCAAAACGGGUGUGUGCGGUCUUGAGUUUAUGUAUGAUGUAAACUAGCACCAGGAUUCUGAAAAGAUUGGAACAUGGAGCUGUCACAACUGGGCCAAUUAGACGCCAGCUAUCACCCUACUCAACUACAGUACAGUUAAAACUAUGCUUUUCAUCAGCAUGGAAAGCAAUCGGGCUGCCACCACAUUAGUGAAACAGAACUCAAAAUCCAUAACCUAAUGGUGACAUAAGACAAUAUUUUGGAGAUCAAUGUCACUCCUAACUCAUACAUUCUUGAGGAUUAUCAAUGUUACAUAGUAGGUUUUUAAUGAAACAGGUUUUCAACCACAUAAUUUAGACCAAAAUAUGUGAAAAAGUAUAAGGUGAAACCCCACAUUCUCUACUGAGCAUGCAGUAAGACGUGGCAACUGAACCUAGACUUCACUCUGAAGCGUCAUGCCCCUGGACAAGUAAUUUAAAUUGUGCCUAUUUCCUUUCUUAUGAGAACAACAGUACCCACUUCAUAGAGCAUUAUCAUUUUUUAAAAAGUAGAUUCUGGUUCUAAUACCUGUGAUGAAGGUAGGGCUACAGAGGUCUUUUCAACUGGUGAGAGCUGGGGCUGGGGAAGCAGUUAAUACUCAGGAAGCUAACAAGUACUGGCAUAUUUGAUCCUGUGAUAUGCAUUAUGUCACACCACAGAUGGAGACUAGCUUGGAUACCCACACAAAAGACUGAACCAUAAAUCAAGUGGGUCAGUUUCAUUGAGUAUCUCACACCAUUGAGUAAUGAGCACCAUUGUCCAGCAGUCCCAAAGGAUAGCAAUGUUAUCAGGUGUGGGAACUUUUUCACACUUUCAGUGCUUAAAGGUUUUUUGUUGGUUUUUAAAUCUGCACUCAAGGAUAUUUUUCCGUUUUUUGUUUGUUUUUUUAAGAGUGGGAUGGGGCGAGCCAUAAACUAUGUGAGAGACAUUGGUUGCUUCCCACACUUGCCCCAACUGGGGAUGGAGCCUGCAACUGAGGUAUAUGCCCUUUUUUGGAAUCGAACCUGUGACCCUUCAGCCCGCAGGCCAACUUUGCUCACUGAGCCAAACUGGCUAGGGCUUAAAGGUUUUUUGUUUAAUUCUCAGAAAGGAAUCUUGGAGAUAGUCUAGUCCAAUCCCUUCAUUUAACAGCUGAAGAUGGAUCUUGGCCAACACUGGUUGAUGGAAGAGCCAGGGCCAAUGUCCAGGUUUUCUGACCAUCAGAAAACUGUCCUGCAAUGUUAUUCAAUCCCAGUUAUGGUUCCCACCACAGGAAACCUAUGAUUUUAGGUGCCAUAGCAUAAUGAAGAUACAUGUAUAUAGACACAUGCCAAGUGGAAUUAGCACUGAGCCCACUGAUGUUCAGGCAGGAGUACAAGGUCCUUUCCAGAGGCCAUGCUUGCUAUUCUUUGACAAGCUUAGUGGUCUUAACACAACUGAAACCUUGCUGUUACAUAUUUAGGCAAUGCAGUCCCCGUAAGAUUUGUAUGUAGAAAAUCUCAACCAAGAUUUCACUUCAGAAAUAUCAAAGCUAGACCCAUCUGUGGCUGGGGAUAGUCUCAUCACACGGCAUUCGUUCUUCACAUAUAGAAACUCUAGUGUAAACUCUUAGUCCUGGCCUUUAACAUCUCUUCAAAUAGCUUUUCCCGUGCUCACUCACAUCAGUAGCUCCACUGCCUCUGAUCCUUUUACAUGGAUUUAUUUCUUUCUAUACAAGGCUCUAAAAACACCCCUUGGUUUGUACAUAAGUUUUUUCUUCAUUUUAAAUUGCUUUAUAACAACUGGUUUCCUGACUUUUUUUUUUCAAUUUUCUUUUCUCUGAAAUCUGCCAUGAUUGG